rnacentral:rRNA from 1 species
CCUGGUUGAUCCUGCCAGUGGUCAUACGCUUGUCUCAAAGAUCAAGCCAUGCAUGUCUAAGCAUAAGCUGAAAGAAAGUGAAGCCGCGAACAGCUCAUUACAACAGCCAUUGUUUACUUGAUCUUGAAAUCCUACUUGGAUAACUGUGGCAAUUCUAGAGCUAAUACACGCAAUCAAGCUCCGACCCUUUGGGGGACGAGUGCAUUUAUUAGAACAAAACCAAUCGGGCUUCGGCUCGUACAUUGGUGAAUCUGAAUAACUCAGCAGAUCGCACGGUCUUGUACCAGCGACGCAUCUUUCAAGUGUCUGCCUUAUCAACUGUUGAUGGUAGUUUAUGCGACUACCAUGGUUGUAACGGGUAACGGAGAAUAAGGGUUCGACUCCGGAGAGGGAGCCUGAGAAAUGGCUACCACAUCCAAGGAAGGCAGCAGGCGCGUAAAUUACCCACUCUCGGCAUGAGGAGGUAGUGACGAAAAAUAACGAGACGGUUCUCAUUGAGGCCCAUUAUUGGAAUGAGUACAAUCCAAACCCUUGUACGAGGGUCAAUCAGAGGGCAAGUCUGGUGCCAGCAGCCGCGGUAAUUCCAGCUCUGAAGGUGCAUACCUAUGUUGUUGCGGUUAAAAUGCUCGUAGUUGGAUCUAUGUUCGUGGGGUUGGUGUUCUCGUUUGAGAUCUACUGACUACCCGAACUGAAACAGCUGGUUUUCCCUUGGUGCUCUUUACUGAGUGCCUUUGGUGGCUAGCAAGUUUACUUUGAAAAAAUUAGAGUGCUCAAAACAGGCGCCUGCCUGAAUAGUGGUGCAUGGAAUAAUGGAAUAGGAUCUUUGGUCCUAUUUUGUUGGUUUUCGGGAGCCAAGAUAAUGAUUAAGAGGGACAGACGGGGGCAUUCGUAUUGCAGCGUUAGAGGUGAAAUUCUUGGAUCGUUGCAAGACGAAC